AAGGUUCUGGACCUACCUCAAUAGCUUUUGCUGCUUGUUCUUUUGUUUCAAAUUCCACAAAGGCAAAUCCCUUCAGAUCUCCAGUAGAUUUAUAAUGUGGUAUACUUAUAUAAACAAUGGGGCCACAUUUCCCUAAUACUCUUGCAAUCCAGCCAUGAUUAACAUUUUUGGGAAGUAAUGCCUACGAUAAAUUAGAAGCAAUAUUAAAUAUACAAUUACUGUUUCUCCAGGUCAAUAAAUUUUUACUU
rnacentral:lncRNA from 1 species